UUGUUCAAGUGAUGUAGCCAACAGAUCCUAGUGGCUCUCAAUUAUAACCUGCUACAUAAGUUUUCCAAUUCUCCCUGUAGAGGUCAGCCAAACAAAACUGCACACUUAAACUGGUUAGCACAGUUCAGAUUCAAACUUUUUACAACACUCAAAAUUACACACACUCUCAACAAGAAGUUUGGCUUUCUAAUGCAGCCCCAAAACUCACAACUCAGAAUUCUCU
rnacentral:lncRNA from 1 species